rnacentral:rRNA from 1 species
UAGGGAAUCUUCCGCAAUGGACGAAAGUCUGACGGAGCAACGCCGCGUGAGUGAAGAAGGAUUUCGGUUCGUAAAACUCUGUUGUUAGGGAAGAAAAAAUGUAUAGUAACUAUAUACAAAAGAGACGGUACCUAACCAGAAAGCCACGGCUAACUACGUGCCAGCAGCCGCGGUAAUACGUAGGUGGCAAGCGUUGUCCGGAAUUAUUGGGCGUAAAGCGCGCGCAGGUGGUUUAGAAAGUCUGAUGUGAAAGCCCACGGCUCAACCGUGGAGGGUCAUUGGAAACUAAUAAACUUGAAUUCAGGAGAGAAAGGUGGAAUUCCUAGUGUGGCGGUGAAAUGCGUAGAGAUUAGGAGGAACACCGGUGGCGAAAGCGGCUUUGUGGCCUGCAACUGACACUGAGGCGCGAAAGCGUGGGGAGCAAACAGG